rnacentral:rRNA from 1 species
GUGGCGGACGGGUGAGUAACACGUGGGUAACCUGCCCUUAAGUGGGGGAUAACAUUUGGAAACAGAUGCUAAUACCGCAUAGAUCCAAGAACCGCAUGGUUCUUGGCUGAAAGAUGGCGUAAGCUAUCGCUUUUGGAUGGACCCGCGGCGUAUUAGCUAGUUGGUGAGGUAAUGGCUCACCAAGGCGAUGAUACGUAGCCGAACUGAGAGGUUGAUCGGCCACAUUGGGACUGAGACACGGCCCAAACUCCUACGGGAGGCAGCAGUAGGGAAUCUUCCACAAUGGACGCAAGUCUGAUGGAGCAACGCCGCGUGAGUGAAGAAGGCUUUCGGGUCGUAAAACUCUGUUGUUGGAGAAGAAUGGUCGGCAGAGUAACUGUUGUCGGCGUGACGGUAUCCAACCAGAAAGCCACGGCUAACUACGUGCCAGCAGCCGCGGUAAUACGUAGGUGGCAAGCGUUAUCCGGAUUUAUUGGGCGUAAAGCGAGCGCAGGCGGUUUUUUAAGUCUGAUGUGAAAGCCCUCGGCUUAACCGAGGAAGCGCAUCGGAAACUGGGAAACUUGAGUGCAGAAGAGGACAGUGGAACUCCAUGUGUAGCGGUGAAAUGCGUAGAUAUAUGGAAGAACACCAGUGGCGAAGGCGGCUGUCUGGUCUGUAACUGACGCUGAGGCUCGAAAGCAUGGGUAGCGAACAGGAUUAGAUACCCUGGUAGUCCAUGCCGUAAACGAUGAAUGCUAGGUGUUGGAGGGUUUCCGCCCUUCAGUGCCGCAGCUAACGCAUUAAGCAUUCCGCCUGGGGAGUACGACCGCAAGGUUGAAACUCAAAGGAAUUGACGGGGGCCCGCACAAGCGGUGGAGCAUGUGGUUUAAUUCGAAGCAACGCGAAGAACCUUACCAGGUCUUGACAUCUUUUGAUCACCUGAGAGAUCAGGUUUCCCCUUCGGGGGCAAAAUGACAGGUGGUGCAUGGUUGUCGUCAGCUCGUGUCGUGAGAUGUUGGGUUAAGUCCCGCAACGAGCGCAACCCUUAUGACUAGUUGCCAGCAUUUAGUUGGGCACUCUAGUAAGACUGCCGGUGACAAACCGGAGGAAGGUGGGGAUGACGUCAAAUCAUCAUGCCCCUUAUGACCUGGGCUACACACGUGCUACAAUGGAUGGUACAACGAGUUGCGAGACCGCGAGGUCAAGCUAAUCUCUUAAAGCCAUUCUCAGUUCGGACUGUAGGCUGCAACUCGCCUACACGAAGUCGGAAUCGCUAGUAAUCGCGGAUCAGCACGCCGCG